rnacentral:rRNA from 1 species
GAGUGAAGCGGCAAAGCUCAAAUUUGAAAUCUGGUACCUUUGGUGCCCGAGUUGUAAUUUGGAGAGUACCACUUUGGGACUGUACUUUGCCUAUGUUCCUUGGAACAGGACGUCAUGGAGGGUGAGAAUCCCGUGUGGCGAGGGUGUCAGUUCUUUGUAAAGGGUGCUCGAAGAGUCGAGUUGUUUGGGAAUGCAGCUCUAAGUGGGUGGUAAAUUCCAUCUAAAGCUAAAUACAGGCGAGAGACCGAUAGCGAACAAGUACAGUGAUGGAAAGAUGAAAAGAACUUUGAAAAGAGAGUGAAAAAGUACGUGAAAUUGUUGAAAGGGAAGGGCAUUUGAUCAGACAUGGUGUUUUGCGCCCCUUGCCUCUCGUGGGCUUGGGACUCUCGCAGCUCACUGGGCCAGCAUCGGUUUUGGCGGCCGGAAAAAACCUAGGGAAUGUGGCUCUGCGCCUCGGUGUAGAGUGUUAUAGCCCUGGGGAAUACGGCCAGCCGGGACCGAGGACUGCGAUACUUGUUAUCUAGGAUGCUGGCAUAAUGGUUAUAUGCCGCCCGUC